rnacentral:lncRNA from 1 species
AUAAAAUCCUCGCAUUUCACAAAAUUUUAUUUUAAGCAUUUGCAGAAGAGUUAAAUAAACGUAGCACACAUUCUAGAUUCAAUAAAAAUUUCAGAAAACCCGACAUUUUAUGUACCAAAAAGGUCCAAACAGAACCGAUGCAAGUGUCAAUAGCUCUCUCUCUUGCUACUGAUUCUUAAAUGAUUUUUACCAGUACCCAAAGGAAUGAAAUCAGCAACUUUCUCCACACUCUCAUCAACACUCCAAUUUUCAAAGCCACAAUUCGCAAACGUCAGUUUGGGCGGGGAGCAGUGGGGGUCUUCAAAUAAUCAAAAAAUUCCUUUUCUCCUCUGACAGUCUACCAACAGAUGUCAAACCAAAUUCAGUCUAUUGUAAAGCACUGGGACCUCCCUUCCAAGGACACGGGACACAAACACAGACACCACUGCACAAAGCUGUCCAAAAGCUCCUGGCCCGACAAUAAAACAAGGGGCCCAGAAAAGAACGAAUCAGAAGCCUCAAUAGGGUCCCGCAGAGACGACGGAAAUUAAAAUAGCAUUUAUUCAGGAGUAAACAGCAACAAAUUAAAGGAAGUUUCCCCAACCGGACUCUUGGGCCUUUCUCUAUUCAAGUUCAGGCUCAAAGCAGAUAUAUUUGCGGGGGUCCCUUCCCCUACAGGCAUCUCAACCGCUGCCAGGGUCCACAGUCGCUCAAAGGGCUGCUGUGCAGGGAGUGUCGGCCAGGUUUGGCGCACUGUCCCAGGUCCCGGGCGAAGGCGGCCAGGGGAAAUGGGUCUUAGAGAUUGCUAAGCAAACGGCACCAUUGGUGGUCUCCAGCGCCUGUAGAGUAGUUCCCAAGUCAAAACUAACAUAUGGAUGGAGUCAGAGAAGGAGAGGAAAGCUGGGCCUUUCCGAAGAGUGGAUCUAUCUGGACUGGAAAUUACCAUUGAAAUUUGCUGCACAUUUUAUGGUGACCCCAAAACUCCUUUGCUUGCUUGCUUUAGAGUAUCAAUGUAUUGCCACUUUACUACCUGGAGCAAGACUAAAUACAUAGAUUCAUAAGUAGAUAUGCACAUACAAUCAUAUACUGCUACUCUCAGGCUAAUUUAGGAAAUUUUUACAUUCCAGAGCAGUAGCACUUUGCAGUUAGAUGAAGAUCAGUUGUGUUUCUUUCUAUGGUGAGUGAAAUGUGUCAGAGGAAAAAUCAAGAUAAUACAUCAUGGAAAAAUACGAAGGAAGUUCUUUAAUAUUUUGUGCUAUAGAAUUUUUAUCUUUCAAGUAUACUUUUUUCUUCUUGUCUACUUAAAU